rnacentral:sRNA from 1 species
AUCGAAAAGGGACUCGACAUCGACAAAGCCGCCGGAACGGGUCGUGUGCACCUUGUCCGGCCGGCUGAGGGUCA